GUGCUAGCUUCAGCAGCACAUACACUAAAAUCGGAAUGAUACAGAGAAGACUAGCAUGGCUUCUAUGCAAGAAUGACACACAAAUUCGUAAAACAUUCCAUAUUUUU